GAUGAACGCUGGCGGCGUGCCUAAUACAUGCAAGUCGAGCGAACAGACGAGGAGCUUGCUCCUCUGACGUUAGCGGCGGACGGGUGAGUAACACGUGGAUAACCUACCUAUAAGACUGGGAUAACUUCGGGAAACCGGAGCUAAUACCGGAUAACAUUUUGAACCGCAUGGUUCAACAGUGAAAGACGGUCUUGCUGUCACUUAUAGAUGGAUCCGCGCCGCAUUAGCUAGUUGGUAAGGUAACGGCUUACCAAGGCAACGAUGCGUAGCCGACCUGAGAGGGUGAUCGGCCACACUGGAACUGAGACACGGUCCAGACUCCUACGGGAGGCAGCAGUAGGGAAUCUUCCGCAAUGGGCGAAAGCCUGACGGAGCAACGCCGCGUGAGUGAUGAAGGUCUUCGGAUCGUAAAACUCUGUUAUUAGGGAAGAACAAAUGUGUAAGUAACUAUGCACGUCUUGACGGUACCUAAUCAGAAAGCCACGGCUAACUACGUG
rnacentral:rRNA from 1 species